rnacentral:rRNA from 1 species
CCCUUAGAUGUUCUGGGCUGCACGCGUGUUACAAUCGGGAGUACAACAAGAUUGCAAAUCCUAGUGGAUGAGUGGUUCUUCGAAAUUUUCUGAAGACUGGGAUAGUUGAUUGAAAUUAUUCAACUCGAACGAGGAAUUCCUUGUAAUUGUAAUUCAUUAUAUUGUAAUGAAUACGUCCCUGCCCUUUGUACACACCGCCCGUCGCUCCUACCGAUUGAACGAUCCGGUGAAUUAUUUGGAGUAGCUCUGGAAGCUGCAGAACUUCCUAUGUCACGAAAUUUUGUAAACCUUAUCGUUUAGAGGAAGGAAAAGUCGUAACA